CCUACGGGUGGCUGCAGUGGGGAAUAUUGGACAAUGGGGGAAACCCUGAUCCAGCAAUACCGCGUGUGUGAAGAAGGCCUUAGGGUUGUAAAGCACUUUUGUUAGGGAGAACGGGACUUUUAGCUAAUAACUAGAGGUUUUGAUGUUACCUAAAGAAUAAGCACCGGCUAACUCCGUGCCAGCAGCCGCGGUAAUACGGAGGGUGCAAGCGUUAAUCGGAAUUACUGGGCGUAAAGGGCGCGUAGGUGGUACUUUAAGUUGGGUGUGAAAUCCCCGGGCUCAACCUGGGAAUUGCAUCCAAAACUGGAGUGCUAGAGUGUGGUAGAGGGUAGCGGAAUUUCUGGUGUAGCGGUGAAAUGCGUAGAUAUCAGAAGGAACAUCAAUGGCGAAGGCAGCUACCUGGGCCAACACUGACGCUGAGGCGCGAAAGCAUGGGGAGCAAACAGGAUUAGAUACCCGAGUAGUC
rnacentral:rRNA from 1 species